CUUCUCCAUUACCAAGUAUUUGUUGGCGAUGCAGUUUUUUAUUAUUACUAUUAUUAUUAUUAUUAUUAUUAUUAUCAUGACAAGGACCUACACCACUAAUACUUGUCUUUCUCUGGUGGUGGUGGGAGUGCUGGAAAGGGGGAUUCUCCUUCCUAAUCUCCCACCACCACUUUUGUCAGGGGCCACUGCGGUCACCCACAAACAUCUGAGGAGGAGCCGCCACCAUUGUCACCACCUGGACCAAGGACCUGUGCUGCGGUCACCCACACACAUCUGAGGAGGAGGCGCCACCAUUGUCACCACCUGGACCAAGGACCUGUGCUGCGGUCACCCACACACAUCUGAGGAGGAGGCGCCACCAAGCUCAAGAUGUGUAGUCAUCCACACCUGAGAAGGGGCCCAGCACCUCCUAGGAUCUGCUCUCCACAACUAUCUUCACACCACUUCAUUGUUUUAACAAGCUUAAUAAAUGAUAAAAUAUGACUGCCCAUA